AAAAGGAGGAGUAGAGUAUGCUUUGCAUAAACAAAGGCUAAGCUCUCCAUAUCUCUCUAUUUCCAUCGUUUUGCUCUUCUUCCUGCUCCUCUGUACUUCAAAAUCAACUCACCCUUCUCUCUUCUUCUUUGUUUAUCGUUCCAUAGAUCUCCCCCUUCCCUAUCGCUGUGCCCUAGUGAUUUUCCCACAUUUUCUCCUCUCAAUUUGAAAUUUGGGGUUCCGAUGACCCUAAAUGCUUCCUGAUUCUUCUUCUCCGGCGAAGUCUUUCGCCCUUCAUGGACCACCAUCUGUACCAUGCCUGAGCUCCGUCGCAAACCAGGUAGGAGCCGGGUAUCUGAAGACCCAGUACCGAUUGCACACCAGACACCCAUUAAGUUAACUGUAACAACACGCCACCGAGGGCAACCCGCUAAACGCAGUGGUGGGAAGAAGGGGAAAGACGCGAUCGAUGCCGAUGGUGACAGGGAUAUUGUGAACCCUGGAAUCGGUCUUGAAACGAGGCUACUGUGUGAGAAUAAAGACGAAGUUGGGAAGGAUAAAGACCUACUGCAGGUUGGUGUUAGAGUAUUAGCUAUGGACGAGUUCGAUAGCGGUGGACGGAACGGCGAUAAGGCUCCUGUAGCUGAAGAUGAAGGCACGGCUACUCCUCUUCCGGAGAAGGUUCAGGUUGGUGGCUCUCCAUUAUAUAAAGUAGAAAGAAAACUGGGUAAAGGGGGUUUUGGUCAGGUGUAUGUGGGUAGACGGAUGGGUCCUAUGAGUUUGAAUGAAAGAUCUGGCCCUGGAGCUGUGGAGGUAGCCUUAAAAUUUGAGCAUAGAAGUAGUAAAGGGUGCAACUAUGGACCUCCUUACGAGUGGCAGGUUUACAAUGCACUAGGUGGUAGCCAUGGUGUGCCACGAGUUCAUUACAAGGGUCGGCAAGGUGACUAUUAUGUCAUGGUGAUGGACAUGCUUGGACCUAGCCUCUGGGAUGUCUGGAAUAACAAUGCUCACACGAUGUCAAUUGAAAUGGUAGCAUGUAUUGCCAUCGAGGCAAUCUCCAUAUUAGAGAAGAUGCAUUCUAGAGGGUACGUGCAUGGUGAUGUGAAGCCUGAAAAUUUUCUGCUCGGCCCUCCAGGAACCCCAGAAGAGAAAAAGUUGUUUCUUGUAGAUCUUGGUUUAGCAACGAAGUGGCGAGAUAGUUCGACUGGUCAACAUGUUGAGUAUGAUCAACGACCAGACGUUUUCCGGGGAACAGUUCGGUAUGCUAGUGUGCAUGCACAUCUUGGCAGAACUGCUAGUCGGAGAGAUGACUUGGAAUCGCUUGCUUACACUCUUGUUUUUCUUCUUCGCGGUCGGCUGCCUUGGCAAGGAUAUCAGGGAGAAAAUAAAGGAUUCCUUGUGUCCAAGAAGAAGAUGGCUACUUCCUCUGAGACAUUGUGCUGUUUUUGCCCUCAGCCUUUUAGACAGUUUGUUGAGUAUGUUGUGAAUUUGAAAUUUGAUGAAGAGCCAAACUACGCAAGAUAUAUCUCCCUCUUUGAUGGUAUUGUCGGUCCGAAUCCAGAUAUCCGUCCAAUAAACACAGAUGGUGCACAGAAACUUAUAUUUCAGGUUGGGCAUAAGAGAGGAAGGCUAUCCAUGGAGGAUGAAGAUGAUGAACAACCAAAAAAGAAGGUUCGAAUGGGGAUGCCUGCAACUCAAUGGAUUAGCGUUUAUAAUGCCCGUAGACCAAUGAAACAAAGAUACCACUAUAACGUUGCUGAUAUGAGGCUCUCUCAGCAUAUUGAGAAGGGGAAUGAAGAUGGUUUAUUUAUUAGUUGUGUUGCUUCAUGUUCGAACCUUUGGGCCCUUAUUAUGGAUGCUGGAACUGGAUUUACCGCUCAAGUUUAUGAACUCUCACCAUUCUUUCUUCACAAGGAGUGGAUCAUGGAACAGUGGGAAAAAAACUAUUACAUCAGUGCAAUAGCAGGAGCUAAUAAUGGGAGCUCAUUGGUGGUAAUGUCGAAAGGGACUCAGUAUCUCCAGCAAUCCUAUAAAGUCAGCGAUUCAUUUCCCUUCAAGUGGAUAAAUAAGAAAUGGAGGGAGGGGUUUUACGUUACUGCCAUGGCCACUGCCGGCAGUAGAUGGGCAAUUGUCAUGUCACGUGGUGCGGGAUUUUCUGACCAGGUUGUGGAACUAGAUUUCCUGUAUCCCAGUGAAGGCAUUCAUCGCAGGUGGGAUAGUGGUUACCGAAUCACAUCAACUGCAGCAACUUUGGACCAGGCUGCUUUUGUUUUGAGUGUGCCAAGGAGAAAGCCUGCUGAUGAAACUCAAGAAACACUCCGUACAUCUGCCUUUCCUAGCACACAUGUCAAGGAGAAAUGGGCAAAGAAUCUUUAUAUUGCAUCUAUUUGCUACGGCCGAACUGUUUCAUGAAACACCCCCAAGUUGUUGCCACUUAGAGCCUGGACUUUUAACAGAUGGUGCUCUUCUUUGGGCGGAUAUGAAUUUUUAAGACACAAUUGACUGGGGUUAAUGGAGUUGACGUAACCAAACUGUUCAGUGACAUCGCCAACGUAUUGCAUCAAUUUUUGACACCUGUGCUCUGGCUUUCAUUCAUGUUAUUCAAUAGAUUACAAGAUUUCUCACGAUACCAGAGAUUCCAUAGCUGGAUAUAGUCAAGGCACAAAUUGCACCUACACUUGGCUGUACCAGAGGCUGAAUGUGGCAUUUUGCUAAUGGACUUGUUGGUUGCAGCAAAUUAUGUCAGAUUCAGCCAUCAGAUAGUUGGCCACUUAGAUCUUGUCCAUUUGGUAAUGACAGUCCACUAUUACCAUUGUUUUCAUGUCUUUGGCCUAGAUUUUGGAAUCGGAAAAUUGUGGGGCUCCAUCAUCUAUCAAGAAUGAAGAUGGCUGCCAUCUGGUUUUCGAGUGCCUCAAACAGCUUCAUGCAGUUCUUCAAGCAAUUCUACCUUGCUGUCACAUUUUUCUUAGAGCAAGUUCAUCGGUGUAGUGUGGUGUCUGAAUUUUGAAUUGGCACCUUCAUAUUCUAUAUACAUAAUCUCUGGAGCCUCCCAGCUCGAUACUGGAUUCAAGAAAAACUGAACUGUGGACUGAUCACAUAUGCCAUGGACGUCACAAUUUUAAAUUUUAAGCAUGAAGGUACAUUAACGUGUUUUGCUGGGGAUGUUUGUUGCUUCAUUUUCCUGCUUGGUUUGUCAUCUGGGUAAAGGGCUCCUGACAUUUUGGAUUAUUGGUUUCUUUGACAGCUGCUAUACAUUAUUAACAUCUCGCCUUAUUACUCAACAUCUUAUAACUCACCUUACUCUCUUCAUUUAUCCUGGGGUUUGGUUUUUCUUUGAUGAAAAUUCUAGGUGAAUAAUAGUUGCGUGUUUGUGGUGUUCGCUAUCAUGGCAUUUUCUGAUAAGAAUACAACAAUGAAUAUGAUAACCGAUAA